CCUGAGUCUGCUCAGGAAGAAGAGGAAUGACCUUAAAAUGACAUGGUUCAGUGCAAAGGAAGACCUGACCCUGACAAGAUUUAGUCUUGCAGCCCCAACA